CUGCAGACCGAGGAGGAAAACCUGUCGGCAUUAUGGAGGGACAAGCGGGAAGCUUUGAGCAGACACUGGUUCACCGGCAACACUUUGAGGACCACUGCACUAUUCUAGACCUUAACAUGACAGAGAUCAGACAUGACUUGGAUAAAAGACAGUAAGGCUGUGACCGCUGAAACUCCGGGGCAAAGGUGAGGCACUGUAGGUUAUAGUUACUGAUGGAAACUAAAAAGAAAGC
rnacentral:lncRNA from 1 species